AUGAGGGUGCCAAGGCACUCGUAUUGUCAACACUUCGUGAGAUGUCUGGCAGUGCGUGCAUUGCGCUGUUUGAGCUUUGCAUACAAGGAAGAUCUGGCAGAAUUUGCAACAUAUGAUCGUGAAGAGCACCCCGAUCACAAAUAUCUACUUGAUCCUGCAUACUACUCUUCCAUAGAGAGUUAUCUGAUAUUCUGUGGUUUUGUUGGUCUAAGGGAUCCUCCACGAGAAGAAGUCCACAAAGCAAUUGAAGAUUGCAGGGCUGCUGGUAUACGUGUUAUGGUGAUAACAAAGAAACAGCAGAGGCGAUAUGCUGCGAGGUUGGGGUUUUUGGUCCCAGUGAAAACAUUAGCUCAAAGAGCUUUGCAGGGAAGGAAUUUAUGGCUCUUCCUGAUAAGAAGAAGCUGUUGA
rnacentral:rRNA from 1 species